rnacentral:rRNA from 1 species
AUUGAACGCUGGCGGCAUGCUUUACACAUGCAAGUCGAACGGCAGCGCGGGCUUCGGCCUGGCGGCGAGUGGCGAACGGGUGAGUGAUGCAUCGGAACGUGCCCAGUAGUGGGGGAUAGCCCGGCGAAAGCCGGAUUAAUACCGCAUACGACCUGAGGGUGAAAGCGGGGGACCGAAAGGCCUCGCGCUAUUGGAGCGGCCGAUGUCGGAUUAGCUAGUUGGUGGGGUAAAGGCUUACCAAGGCGACGAUCCGUAGCUGGUCUGAGAGGACGACCAGCCACACUGGGACUGAGACACGGCCCAGACUCCUACGGGAGGCAGCAGUGGGGAAUUUUGGACAAUGGGGGCAACCCUGAUCCAGCCAUGCCGCGUGCGGGAAGAAGGCCUUCGGGUUGUAAACCGCUUUUGUUCGGGAAGAAAUCCUCUGGGCUAAUACCCCGGGGGGAUGACGGUACCGGAAGAAUAAGCACCGGCUAACUACGUG